GAUGAAGAACGCAGCGAAAUGCGAUAAGUAAUGUGAAUUGCAGAAUUCAGUGAAUCAUCGAAUCUUUGAACGCACAUUGCGCCCGUCAGUAUUCUGGCGGGCAUGCCUGUUCGAGCGUCAUUACGCCCCUCAAGUCCCCUGUGGACUUGGUGUUGGGGAUCGGCAAGGCUGGUUUUCCAGCACAGCCGUCCCUUAAAUUAAUUGGCGGUCUCGCCGUGGCCCUCCUCUGCGCAGUAGUAAAACACUCGCAACAGGAGCCCGGCGCGGUCCACUGCCGUAAAACCCCCCAACUUUUUAUAGUUGACCUCGAAUCAGGUAGGACUACCCGCUGAACUUAAGCAUAUCAAUAAGCGGAGGA
rnacentral:misc_RNA from 1 species